AUUGAACGCUGGCGGAAUGCUUUACACAUGCAAGUCGAACGGCAGCACGGGGCAACCUGGUGGCGAGUGGCGAACGGGUGAGUAAUACAUCGGAACGUGCCCAAUCGUGGGGGAUAACGUAGCGAAAGUUACGCUAAUACCGCAUACGAUCUACGGAUGAAAGCGGGGGAUCGCAAGACCUCGCGCGAGUGGAGCGGCCGAUGUCAGAUUAGGUAGUCGGUGGGGUAAAGGCUCACCAAGCCAACGAUCUGUAGCUGGUCUGAGAGGACGACCAGCCACACUGGAACUGAGACACGGUCCAGACUCCUACGGGAGGCAGCAGUGGGGAAUUUUGGACAAUGGGCGCAAGCCUGAUCCAGCCAUUCCGCGUGCAGGAUGAAGGCCUUCGGUUGUAAACUGCUUUGUACGGAACGAACGGACGAGCUCUAAUACAGUUUGCUAAUGACGGUACCGUAAGAAUAAGCACCGGCUAACUACGUGCCAGCAGCCGCGGU
rnacentral:rRNA from 1 species